AUGAGAUGCUGUGAUAAAGAUCCUUCUUCGUUAGUCUCUCUCACAGCUGGGCUUCAUUUAUGUGCCCAUAAACCAGCUCAUCUUUGCAACACAGGAGCGACUCUGAGCUGGGAAACUGAGCUAAACCAAAAAACAGCAAGGUGGUGUUUUAUUCCAGAAGAAAGUUGUUUCUUUUUAAGUCGAGGCCAGCAAGCAUUGAUAACAAUUCCUGUGGAAGGUUUCAUCUCCCUCCUGAGGCAUUGCGAAGGUAGGAGUUGCAAAUGUUGGGAGCUGUAAUGCAAUUUCACUCAGCACUUGUUUACAUGUAUCAUUUUUAAAAGUAUGGGGCUCUGUCCUCCACAUCAUCUUCUUGAAUAACCUCACCACAUCUCUGAAGAACACGUAUAAAUCAAUUACCUUCCAAGUGGCCUGCCUCUGCAGAGGUGAGCCAUAUUCAUGAAAACAGUUUUCAUGGACUAAAAGCCUUUCUCUAUGAUGUGCCAGGAAAUAAUGCCACACUAUUGCCAGGAGAGGCUUCCAGAAACCAACAGCACCUGCGUCACAUUAAAAACUUUUGAGCCCAAGAAUUAGGUUGAGGCUUGUUUAAAGCCCAUUUUCUGUAUUAUGGCUCAAGGGGGAUUAUUUUGGUAACCUGAACUGCUCAAAUUUUCCUGCUUCAUCAAGAUUCUCAGAUUGCUUUGGAAGUAUGUGAAGUUUGUGAAAACGCAAAUUUCACUUGCAUUUAGACCUUUGCCUGAGAACUUUCCCCCCUGAAAUUCUGCGAUUCCAUGAGAAAUUCCAUAAUUACUAUCCGUGUAUAACCCAGGGUCUAG
rnacentral:lncRNA from 1 species